UACGAAGGGGGCUAGCGUUGUUCGGAAUCACUGGGCGUAAAGCGCACGUAGGCGGAUGUGUCAGUCAGGGGUGAAAUCCCGGAGCUCAACUUCGGAACUGCCUCUGAUACAGCACGUCUUGAGUCCGGAAGAGGUGGGUGGAAUUCCUAGUGUAGAGGUGAAAUUCGUAGAUAUUAGGAAGAACACCAGUGGCGAAGGCGGCCCACUGGUCCGGUACUGACGCUGAGGUGCGAAAGCGUGGGGAGCAAACAGG
rnacentral:rRNA from 1 species